rnacentral:rRNA from 1 species
UACGAAGGUGGCUAGCGUUACUCGGAAUUACUGGGCGUAAAGGGCUCGUAGGCGGCCAACUAAGUCAGACGUGAAAUCCCUCGGCUUAACCGGGGAACUGCGUCUGAUACUGGAUGGCUAGAGUUUGGGAGAGGGAUGCGGAAUUCCCGGUGUAGCGGUGAAAUGCGUAGAUAUCGGGAGGAACAUCAGUGGCGAAGGCGGCUACCUGGCCCAAUACUGACACUCAGGUGCGACAGCGUGGGGAGCAAACAGG